CUACGGGAGGCAGCAGUAGGGAAUAUUGGUCAAUGGGCGGAAGCCUGAACCAGCCAUGCCGCGUGCAGGAAGAAGGCCCUCUGGGUUGUAAACUGCUUUUGAUAGGGAACAAAUGCCACUUGCGAGUGGAGCUGAGUGUACCUAUAGAAUAAGCACCGGCUAACUCCGUGCCAGCAGCCGCGGUAAUACGGAGGGUGCAAGCGUUGUCCGGAUUUAUUGGGUUUAAAGGGUGCGUAGGCGGCUCUUUAAGUCAGUGGUGAAAUCCUUCAGCUUAACUGGAGAACUGCCAUUGAUACUGAAGAGCUUGAGUAUAGUUGAGGUAGGCGGAAUUGACAGUGUAGCGGUGAAAUGCUUAGAUAUUGUCAAGAACACCGAUUGCGAAGGCAGCUUACUAAACUAUAACUGACGCUGAGGCACGAAAGCGUGGGUAUCAAACAGGAUUAGAUACCCCUGUAGUCC
rnacentral:rRNA from 1 species